rnacentral:rRNA from 1 species
CAGUAGCCGCGGUAAAACGGGGGGGGGCAAGUGUUAUUCGGAAUGACUGGGCGUAAAGAGCACGUAGGCAGUGAAAAGGGUGGAAAGUGAAAGUCUCCAAAACACUGGCGGGGUGCUUUCUUGACCAUUUCACUUGAGUGAGAUAGGGGAGAGUGGAAUUUCGUGUGGAGGGAUCAAAUCCUAAGAUAUACGAAGGAACGCCAACCGCGAAGGCAGCUCUCUGGGUCCCCACUGACGCUGGGGUGCGAAAGCAUGGGGAGCAAACAGGAUCAGAUACCCCCGUAGUCCCUGUCUCUUAUAA